rnacentral:rRNA from 1 species
CAGUCGAACGAAGCACUCUAUUUGAUUUUCUUCGGAAAUGAAGAUUUUGUGACUGAUUGGCGGACGGGUGAGUAACGCGUGGGUAACCUGCCUCAUACAGGGGGAUAACAGUUGGAAACGACUGCUAAUACCGCAUAAGCGCACAGGAUCGCAUGGUCCGGUGUGAAAAACUCCGGUGGUAUGGGAUGGACCCGCGUCUGAUUAGCCAGUUGGCAGGGUAACGGCCUACCAAAGCGACGAUCAGUAGCCGACCUGAGAGGGUGACCGGCCACAUUGGGACUGAGACACGGCCCAAACUCCUACGGGAGGCAGCAGUGGGGAAUAUUGCACAAUGGGGGAAACCCUGAUGCAGCGACGCCGCGUGAGCGAAGAAGUAUUUCGGUAUGUAAAGCUCUAUCAGCAGGGAAGAAGAAUGACGGUACCUGACUAAGAAGCACCGGCUAAAUACGUGCCAGCAGCCGCGGUAAUACGUAUGGUGCAAGCGUUAUCCGGAUUUACUGGGUGUAAAGGGAGCGCAGGCGGUGCGGCAAGUCUGAUGUGAAAGCCCGGGGCUCAACCCCGGUACUGCAUUGGAAACUGUCGUACUAGAGUGUCGGAGGGGUAAGUGGAAUUCCUAGUGUAGCGGUGAAAUGCGUAGAGAUGGGGAGGAACACCAGUGGCGAAGGCGGCCUGCUGGGCUUUAACUGACGCUGAGGCACGAAAGCGUGGGUAGCAAACAGGAUUAGAUACCCUGGUAGUCCACGCUGUAAACGAUGAUUACUAG